ACGGGAGGCAGCAGUGAGGAAUAUUGGUCAAUGGGCGAGAGCCUGAACCAGCCAAGUCGCGUGAGGGAAGACGGCCCUAUGGGUUGUAAACCUCUUUUUUGCGGGAAUAAAGUGCUUCAUGCGUGGAGUUUUGUAUGUACCGCAAGAAUAAGGAUCGGCUAACUCCGUGCCAGCAGCCGCGGUAAUACGGAGGAUUCGAGUGUUAUCCGGAUUUAUUGGGUUUAAAGGGUGCGUAGGCGGGGGAUCAAGUCAGUGGUGAAAUGGUGCGGCUCAACCGUAGCAUUGCCGUUGAAACUGGUUUUCUUGAGUGCGAAUGAGGUGGGCGGAAUGUGUCAUGUAGCGGUGAAAUGCAUAGAUAUGACACAGAACACCGAUUGCGAAGGCAGCUCACUGGGACGCAACUGACGCUGAGGCACGAAAGUGCGGGGAUCGAACAGGAUUAGAUACCCUGGUA
rnacentral:rRNA from 1 species